rnacentral:lncRNA from 1 species
AAAAAAAAAGAGGAAAAAAAAGUGGAAAAAAAAUGAGAGCCACAUUCCAUUUCUAGCACUUUCGGAGCUCUUUUUCAGUAUUCUCUCGUGUCUUCUGGGCAUCGUCAGAUGCGACAGGCAAUAAUUCUGUUUGUGACACCGGGAACAUCCCCUCUUCUUUGUGGCGUGUGUGUUGAUUCCAUUUUGUCCAGUGCUACCGUCCUUAUUUCCCCCCUCUGACACAGGCCUCUUUUCCAGAACAUUUGUAACUUGUAAUACAAACAAGUGACAGCCGCCGUGAUACAGUGUCAGUUUCUGAAUGUCAUCAGGUUCUCAUAUCUAAACAUGUCAAGUUUUUUCCCUGUAACUUCUGUAGUCUGUGAUGCUGGUCAUAAUACUGUCUACAUUCCUACGCAAAGAACAACAACAAAAAAAUCUAUCUUGGAGGAAAUCUGAGAUCAAUAGAGUAGAGGAUUUUGUUGCUAUGCUUGUAACAAGUAGAAGACUUUGUAUUUAAAGUUUAUUCUUGGUCAUUAUUUAUUAUUAUAAUACAUCAGUUGACAGAACUUUAUUCUGGUAUAGAAAGU